rnacentral:misc_RNA from 1 species
UAGAAUUUCAAGAUUUGGAUGUUGCCUUCUUUUCAACUUACCAUAUAUUUGUCCAAAUUUUUGAGGAUUUCUAAGCUGCUGUAAUCAAUCUUUUUUGACCCCCAAACAACAAAGGCUGCAACUUUCAUACUUCAUCUUUAUCUUUAUCUUGGCCAACACCCCAUUUCAAAAUUUCAGCUCAAAUAAAAGGUUCUUUAAGAAGGAUUACGCCUGCAUUCUUUAAAGGACUGUGCAAGUAUCUCAGUUAUGAAUCAGGCAAAAAUCAAGCGCAGAGUUGGUAAAUAUGAAAUGGGAAGGACAAUUGGUGAGGGAACAUUUGCUAAAGUUAAGUUUGCGAGGAAUUCG